AGUGAAGUACCUAAAAAAGGGUAAUCUUGAUAGGAUUAAUUAUGUGGGAAUUAUAGCCCCACCUCCGCUA
rnacentral:tRNA from 1 species